UUGACAUCAUGUUUGUGUAUUUAAAAUCGUGCAGACGCGAUAUUAUUUUCAUUCUGGCAUCAACAUGAAAGUAGUUCUUAUACUUAUAGCGUUGUUAGUAAUUGGACUAGCACAGGCUGGUCCUUUGAACAAGGUUGGGGAGGAAUAUGGUCGACUGGGCAGGGCUUUAAGGUCAUCUGACACUGAUGAGACUCUACAGAAAGCACAUAAAGAACUGGAAGCAAUAGGGGUAGAUCUACAUGUAAGAUGACCAAGAUGACGUUAGAGCACUUGCAACAUUGUUGUUUAUUUCUCAAACUCAUGUUGUUGAAGAAAUACUCAUUCAAUUGAAUGUGCAGGCUCUAUGUCCAGAUCAUCACAAACAUCAUAUUCAUAAAUCAGUAAAAUCAUUGUAACCUUUGUAUAUACAUUUCUGCUAUCAGGGAAGAAUUCAUAGAUUUUUUUAAUUUCCAAAAAGUCAUG